GUUAAACCGCAAUACACAGGCGUAAAAGUCACGCCUGAUGGACGUAAGGAGCUCAUUACUAAGUAGCAUUCUGUCUUCACAACUGUUUCUUUACUGGUCUCCGCCUUCCCUGAGUUUGAGGUGAACUUGCCAGGUUCACUUGAAGGCCUGCGAGAGGAUUUCCAGAAGAGGAACAAGACAGGAAAGCAGACAGGAGGGUGAGGCAUGUGCACUGGCUGAAGCAGCACAGCCCAUGUGAGCACAGCAUGCACAGGAACCUGGGAUGCUCUGAUCCAGAAAGACCAGGAACUGACAGAAACCCAAGGGAGAAUCAUGUACAUUAAAGCUUCCUCAGGAAUAUUAAUUGAUUUAACAUAGUGCCCUGGUUUCACCUGGUAGAGAGUUUUCACCAAGCAUUGAAGACCAUCUUUAAAUACUGCCUAUGUGGGGCAGUGAACAGGCAUUGCAGCUCCUUGCAUGGAAAUAAAGGUGUGAAGUCAGAUAAGUGACAUUAUGAUGAGGAUUCCGAGAUGAUUUCUUUUCAUACAUUCACUUUCUUUCUCCAUCAACUUGUUUUCAAUGUGAAUUUUGAAUGAACACACAUGAGGGAGGAUUUUCUGCUCAAGAGAAGUGGAAAUUUUUUGGCUACUUCUGUUGGCAAGUUAUGGGACAAAGCAGAGUGCCUGGGUAUCAUGGUGCUUUCACACCUUCUGUCUUCUGAACAUCUCAGUGAAAGCUCUGGGAAAUCUAAUUGAAUAUAAGAACAUCUUGAAUGGAUUAUCAAGUCACUAACAUGCCAAAUGGCCACCAGAGGAUUUAAUUUGUCAAUAAGCUGCACGAAUACCCAGGCCACCUCCAUCUGCUGCUGUGACAGAACACAAUUAACAGGAAAAUCCCAGUUCAAUCUUUGGAGACUUAAAGUGCUCACUCAAAUGCACUGAACAAGAGGAAUGCUUCAGCUCCAAUCAGCUCCUGUCUUCUUUGGAAAUGCUGGCCCUGAGG